GCGGGCGGCGCGGGGUGUGCGUCCCCGCUCCCCUCCCUGCGGCGGUGGAACUCACGGAGCCGCCGGGUCUUCACCUGGGAUCUCCACUGUAUCCGAUACAUUUCACUUCGCUGCACCCCCCUCCCCCCACAGUAUAAUGUUUUCCGUGAGAUCCUCGCUUAAAGCCACCUGCACGUACCCGUGUGGCGGCCCAGGUUGUAUGGCGGCUCAGGCUUCGCUUUCAUUUUUAAAGCAGAUCGUUGUGCUCUCUGAAGCUCUGCUGAAGAGAAGCUCCAUGGCUCCUUGCAUGGCAGAGGAAAAUCCCGAGCCAUAACACGUUCACCAUCGAUCUAACAGAACCACGGAGUCACAGGGACCUCAAGAGACCAUCGAGUCCAACCCCCUGCUAAAGCACGGUCCCUACAGUCGGUCACACAGGUAUGCACCCUGCUGACACCCACAGGAAAUCCUCCUAUUCCUGGCUGGAAGCAGCUGUUGUAUGAUGUUCUAAACAAAUUAUCACAGGUUAGUAGUUAAUAUGUUUAUUUGUGCUAGGUUAUUAUGUAGCACACCUUCUUAAAGAAGAGCCCCAUGGUCUCACUUCUGCCUACUCACCUCUUUCAGUGAAUAGGUGUUUUCAUUGAAGGGUUAAAUUGAGUUUGCUUAAUACAGUGGUUUGAAACCAGCACAACCAGCCAACAAACCCCUCGCUGCCUUCCUCCGUACAAAAUGGAGAGACCUUCAGCUCCACCACACACCGCCCCUCUGUGGUUCUCUGCCUCUUCCCCAUUUCUGGAAACACUGCCUAUGUUACUGUGCCAGGUAAUGAAAUUACGUCAUUACGUGGCAGACUGAGAACAAGCGACCUAUGGAACGGGGUCAGAAGAAGGGACAAUGACAUUCAAGUUCAUUUAAAAAACUCUAAGCACUAGCUCGGGGAAGUGCUUAGCAGUGUUAUGCAGUGAUACAUCGGUCCUGGUGGUUUAAAAUACUUCUUUCCUGUGAAAAAACAUUCCGCUCUGUGUUUGUGGAAGUGAAACUGCGUGUCUGAGUGCCCAGACUAAUGGAAAUGCCAUUACCCAGCUUUGGAUAUGUCAGCCUUGAUUUUGGAAACUGUAAGUGUUUGCUGCUCAGGUGAAAUAAGAUCAAUUUUCUAAAGCACCGAGAAUUAAAGGAUUUUUUGGAGAAUCUGGGACAAAAUGACUUUGUUCAUCUACAUGGUGAAGCCAAGCUUAAGGUUCACAUCUGCUUGGUUCUCAUUCCUCCCCUUACUCAGUACUGCUACCCGUGCAGUAAGAGACAGAAACUAAAGUAAACCCUUUAUUUUAUGAACUCAAUGGUAUAAGAAGGAUUUCACUCCAGAAAGUCAUAGUAUAAGACUGAAAAAAUAUAAAAAUAGAUGAGCAGUUGUAUAGAUGUAGACAUUUACAACAUGUAUGUGCGUUUGGCAAUAAAAACCAGGUGAACAUUAGACCAGGAAAUUCAGUCAAAAAUUACUCUGUCAUGAAGGUUUUAAAUCAUAGUUUGAAAAAUACUUUGAAAUCUUAGAUCAGCUUUGGGUCUGGCUUUCCCUCCAUCAUGUCUCACUUUAAAUUCUACUCCAAAAGCCAAGAAUGUAUAGUAAAAGGAAGGCACGCUUUGACAGCCCUAUGAUUUUACCUCCUAAUGCACUGUAAUAUCACUGCCAUGAUAAUUCAUGACUCUCAGAGCAUAAUCUGACAUGACACUAAAGAGGUUAUUACUCUUCCGUCCAUGGGGAAAGAUCUAUUUAUAAAUUUGAACUCAAUAUUGCUGCAUUCAGCAGGAAAAAAUCCAAAGCCCCAAAAAGGAAACAGCCACAAUGAACAAGGAGAGACCAUUGCGUUGCCCCUUUCUACUUCAUGUCUUGACAUGUCAGUAGCAAGUUCUCCCUUAAUCAAAAGAAUGUACAUAUAAAUCCUCAUCCUUUAAGUAGGUAAGUGAAAUUCCACUCUGAAAAUGAUUUUCAGAACAUUCUGGUAGAUGCCAUUUAUACCAUUUAUAUAGAAGCAUAGAAUGGCUUAGGUUGGAGAGGAGUCCAACCCCCCUGCCAUAGUCUGGGUUGCCAGUCGCUGGAUCAGGCUGUCCAGGGCCCCAUCCAACCUGGCUUUGAAUGCCUCCAGAGAAGGGGCAUCCAUUAACCUCUCUGUGCAACCUGUUCCAGUGUGUCACCACCCUCUGAAUAAGAAAUUUAUUCCUGACAUCUAACCUAAAUCUCUCCUCUUUUAGUUUGGAGCCAUACCCCAUGUCCUAUCACUAUCAGAUUGAGUAAAAAUUCAAUCUUCCUCCUGCUUGAAGUUCUCAGGGAACCCCAUCUCACCUUCAGAUGCUAAUUCCAAAAGGCUUCCCUUAGAUUCUGUAUUUUGUUUGCCAACCCAAUCUGGAAACCCUCUAAGCAAUCUGAGACAUGAUUAGGCACCUAACUCCAGGCAACUGAGUUGAGCCCUGGUACUUGAUAUAGCACCAGCUAAAUCACUCACCAGAAGCCACUGACUAUGUUGACUAAUAGUCUGUGAAGGUCUGUCUGCCGCUCUGAGUUAGGUUUCUAAGGCUCUAUUUAGCUGACAGAAUGUGUACUGAAUGUUUUUGUUAAUGCUAGCAUCUGGAAUAAAGUGAGAAGGCUUCCUAAGUGUUUACCAUCCAGGAGCAUCUGCAAGACUUCACAUGAAAGAAUGCGCUGUGUGAAAGUAGGAGGGAGGAGGAGCAGAGAGAGGUUUGAACUUUCAUUCCUCUUGGGAUUGAAGGGUUUCUUAUUUUCCCCAAGAUUUUUUUCAGAAUGCCAUAGAGGAAAAAUCCCUACAGCAAUACUUUUUAGGAAGGGCAAUUACAGACAGCGGAGCAGCUGCCUUUUGAGAUGCUGAUUCAAGUGCUCAACCGACACUGAGUCAUCCAUGCUUUUAGUAAUGAGCUCCCUGGAAGACAACAUGAAUCCCAGAAGUUGUCAGCUACUAUUCUCAUGAUCUAACUGUAGGGUGGUGAUUUUGAGACACAGGACUCCCUUAAACAGAUGCCAACAUACAGGAGCUUCUGGAGGAUGGCAGCUAGUGCGAAGUGGCUGUAAGCUUUCUGCAGAUAAAUUAAAGCUGCUAAUUAACAGAGUUUCUCAUGUGAAUUCUCUUCACAGCUGGAUAAUAUUUCUAUAGAUAAAGAAGGAAAGUGAUAAUGCCACAGACAUUGUUCUUUUUCACAGACAAGGAAAUUUAGAAGAUGUCCAAAAAGUCCGUGGAUGAGACAUAUUUGUCUCACAGGCUGUGUUAUGAAUUGAGGUAGCAGGGCUUGAGUCAUAUGUAACAUCAGGGGAAAAAAUAGGGCUGUUAAAAUAAUUUUGUAUUACAGCAUGCUUAAUUAUUAUGUAGAAAAGAGGCUUUCAGAAAACUCGAGGACUGUAGGAUUGAUCCUGUUGCCCAGGGCAGAUACAAUGUUUUGACUUCAAAACAUGCCAGCAUAGGCCGUACCGUUAAUAAUAGUAUUCAACUUUGCUUGGAGAAUGUACUUGACUUGAUCAGACGUUUAGGAAGAAAACAAGUUCUUUACAUUUAAUUCAAAGCGCUGGGAUAGGACCACUCCUUAUUAAAAGCUUGAAAACAAUCUUCUCACUGUCCAGGACAUGGAUAAAGCCUUGAUGCUGUGUGCAGAGCAAAUGCUUUGAAAUAGAUACCUUAAAAUCCUACUUCAAAAGAUCUGUUCCUAAAAAGUAGAGGAGAAGCAAACAUGGUUAGUAAAGUCAUAAAGUCUACAGUCCAUUUAGUCCUCCAUAUAAUGCUCCAUAAAGAAAUCCCUUUCUAAAAGUUCAGCAAUGACUAUUUCUGUGCUUUAGCUUCUUUUCAUAGCUUUGUGAUGUCUCUCAGCAUCUUCUCAGGGGCACGUGGGAUUUAAAAUAAAAGCCAGAAUCACCACAUCAAAUAAAAGUUCAUCUCAUAUUGUCUUGAAUCUGAA